UCCGUAGGGGGCGAGCGUUGUCCGGAGUUACUGGGCGUAAAGCGCUUGUAGGCGGUCCACCAAGUUUGGGGUGACAGUUGCCGACUUAAUCGGCAAAGUGCCUCAAAGACUGGCGGACUUGAGGGCCACAGAGGGACAUGGAACUCCAGGUGUAGUGGUGAAAUUCGUAGAUAUCGAGAGGAACACCGGUGGCGAAGGCGGCCAACUGGACAGAUACUGACGCUGAGACACGAAAGCGUGGGGAGCAAACAGG
rnacentral:rRNA from 1 species